AGUGAACGCUGGCGGUAGGCCUAACACAUGCAAGUCGAACGGCAGCACAGUAAGAGCUUGCUCUUACGGGUGGCGAGUGGCGGACGGGUGAGGAAUACAUCGGAAUCUACUUUUUCGUGGGGGAUAACGUAGGGAAACUUACGCUAAUACCGCAUACGACCUACGGGUGAAAGCAGGGGAUCUUCGGACCUUGCGCGAUUGAAUGAGCCGAUGUCGGAUUAGCUAGUUGGCGGGGUAAAGGCCCACCAAGGCGACGAUCCGUAGCUGGUCUGAGAGGAUGAUCAACCACACUGGAACUGAGACACGGUCCAGACUCCUACGGGAGGCAGCAGUGGGGAAUAUUGGACAAUGGGCGCAAGCCUAAUCCAACCAUACCGCGUAGGUGAAGAAGGCCUUCGGGUUGUAAAGCCCUUUUGUUGGGAAAGAAAAGCAGCAGGUUAAUACCCCGCUGUUCUGACGGAACCCAAAGAAUAAGCACCGGCUAACUUCGUG
rnacentral:rRNA from 1 species